AUCUCAUGAUUUGGACACUUUCUCAUCAACUCCUUUAAACUGUUCCAGGCCUCAUGAUAGCUUUCCCCAUCUUUUUAUUGAAAGGUUUGAAUUUUCAGUCUAAUUUU
rnacentral:snoRNA from 1 species